GAUCAUGGCUCAGGAUGAACGCUGGCGGCGUGCUUAACACAUGCAAGUCGAACGAUUGAAGCUGGAGCUUGCUCCGGCCGAUUUAGUGGCGGACGGGUGAGUAACGCGUGGGUAACCUGCCUCAUACAGGGGGAUAGCAGUUGGAAACGACUGGUAAAACCGCAUAAGCGCACGGUGUCGCAUGACACAGUGUGAAAACACUCCGGUGGUAUGAGAUGGACCCGCGUCUGAUUAGCUAGUUGGUGAGGUAACGGCCCACCAAGGCGACGAUCAGUAGCCGGCCUGAGAGGGUGAACGGCCACAUUGGGACUGAGACACGGCCCAAACUCCUACGGGAGGCAGCAGUGGGGAAUAUUGCACAAUGGGGGAAACCCUGAUGCAGCGACGCCGCGUGAGUGAUGAAGUAUUUCGGUAUGUAAAGCUCUAUCAGCAGGGAAGAUAAUGACGGUACCUGACUAAGAAGCACCGGCUAAAUACGUG
rnacentral:rRNA from 1 species